rnacentral:rRNA from 1 species
UACGUAGGGUGCGAGCGUUAAUCGGAAUUACUGGGCGUAAAGGGCGCGUAGGCGGCCUUCUAAGUCGAACGUGAAAUCCCCGGGCUCAACCCGGGAACUGCGUCCGAUACUGGAAGGCUUGAAUCCGGGAGAGGGAUGUGGAAUUCCAGGUGUAGCGGUGAAAUGCGUAGAUAUCUGGAGGAAUACCGGUGGCGAAGGCGGCAUCCUGGACCGACAUUGACGCUGAUGAGCGAAAGCUAGGGGAGCAAACGGG